rnacentral:misc_RNA from 1 species
AUACCUUCGGUUUGACGAUUUAUUGUCUCACCGGCGUUGGCGGUUUUGGGAUACGUGGGGCAACCCGCGCCAUUCUGCUUAAACACUGACAGCGGUCGAGUUCUUACCCCCACCGAUUAGUAGAAAUAUUUAUCGUUUAAGGAUUUGAACUCUUCGCCAUACAAAAUUGGGACCUGCAAAGGGCCAAUCCCACAA